CUUAUUGUUUAUUCUCUAGAAUAGGAAUAUUGUCUACUUCAACAUAACAUUUUUAAAAUAAGUUCAUAAAAUUUGAUACUCUUAUUGAAACGGAUUAUCAUUAUACUCAUAAAAAUAUACAUUUUCGAUUUUAAAUUUUUUCAAAACCAAAUUGCGUAAUAAGAUGAAAGUUUGUAACAAGUUACUUGAUCAUAUUUAUUGAAAAAGAUAAUAAUCAGGUUUUGAUGUUGAGAUUAUCAUAAAUAUAUAUAUAUUAUAAAAAGUGACGAUUAUAAAAUGUUCAAAUAGUUAACUUUAGUAAACGGUGAUGUGGUGGCCGAAUAUAUUUUGUUACGCACGGAAGCCGAAUAGAUUGAAGAGAGAAACCAAGUUGUGAACUAUACGGCUCCAUCAGGGAGGGACAGAGGCCGAGUAACCAGAUCAGUCGAAUUAUCAGCUGUAGACCUGGCCGAGUAAGAACAGUUAGCCGAAUGAGAGAUUAUUCAUUGGAAGAAAGGUGGGCCUAACCGUGGACAUCAAGGACAACUAUAAAUAAAGAAAGUAUCAGCUAACACGAGGUGACCGUCGGGUUUCUGCCGUUUUCUGUUGCUGUGCUACACCAUCGCCACUUCAUUCUGGCUCGGUUUUGGCAUUUGGGGCAAAGAAGAUUAGCUAAAUCCAAUAGUUGUUCACUGAAGAUUGGUAUUUGAACAGAAUAAUAGGUAUGAGUUCUCUAUUUCUUGUUCUUCCUAAUCAUGAAAAUCCUAAUCAUGAAGAUUGGCAUUUCUGUUCUCUUAUAUUGUUUUCCAGAGUUUUAACGUUUUUAUUUGCUUACUCUGCCAUAGAUCUAUCAUCAUAACCUAUAUUCCAUACAUGUGUGUUUGUGUAUGUAUGUAUAUAAUAUGUGUAUAUAUGUAUAUAUGUAUGUAUAUACAGUGUUUGGAUCUGGGAAUUAGGUAUCCAUCCUCUGAGCUAGUCUUUAAGAUGGCGUAAUCAAUUAGAUGCAGCUUUUCAAGGAUAGCGAUGGAAUGGAAUGGUUUGGAAAUUCAUAAGUGGGGUUCCAAUUAUUUGGACUGUUGCUUAAAAGAAAAGAACUGGUAACAUACAGAGUAAACUGUGAUGCAUUUGGUCCCAAAUUCGUGUACGUGCAACAAAACCAAGAGUUUUUCUUGUAAAUUUGAUACUGUAAAUUAAAAAACUAGAUUUAUAAUAGGUCAAAUUACACCGAUGGUCCUAUAGUUUGCCCCUUGUAUUAUUUUGGUCUGUACAUUUUCAAUUGACUCAAUUUUGACCCUAAAUUUAUAAUUUUGUCUAUUUGGUUCAAUCAAUAAUGUGGUUAGUGUUUUUGACAGGAAAUUAUCACCUAAAUGGUUAAGAUUAACUCACUGAGUUGAGUAAAUUUAUUAUUUUUAUUUUUAAAAAUGUGGCAUGUCACUUAUGUACGUAUUUUCUAUAAUAAUAAAAAAAUGCUACGAGUUGUAAUAAAUUAGACCAAAUUAUAGUCACAAAUUGAUGCUUAAAAUCAAGUCAAUUGAAAUUAUAGGAACCAAAAAAAGAUAAGGACCAAAAUACAGGGACAAUCCUCGUAAUUUGCCCUUUAUAAUAAGAUUUAUAAAAAUGAGUGAUUUUUAAAAUCAAUAAUAGGAGAACAUUUUCAUAAUUUUACAAAAAUAAAAAAAUGUAACAAAAUAAUUUUUUUGUUGUUGUUGUUAAGCUUACUGUGUGACAGAGCAAGGUUUAUGUAGGGUUGCAAUAGUGAGCGCAUCAGAAAGCAGACCCGAUAGCUUGAUGGCAAUUCAGCAAAAAACGCCAAUAUUUUACAUAAUGCCCUAUUUUAGUGGCUAACUUCCUGCUACUGUGUUUCCUAUGCAAAAUGUAUUGGGAGGAAAAAGAAUUUUAGUGGUUCGAUUAACUUGCUCACAAAUUUCUUCUAUCCCCUUCUCCUUCUCUUUUCUAGAAUUUCAUUUUAGAAAACUAAAUUUAUAAAAAUGAGUGAUUUUUUAACCUUUUAUGGAUCUAUAUGAUUAGAAAAUCCCAUAAUUGUGACCCAUGUGCAUGUAUUCCUCAUUGGUCAAAAUCUUUUUCCACUUAUUGGUCGUCACAAUCCAAACUCGCCCCUAAAAGUUUGGAUUAUAACCGGCCAGUAAUUCCUUGAUUACCUACGACCUAAGACAGAUUACAUAAAGUUUACAAUAAUGGAGCCUAAGCGUAAGCAAAUAAUAUAGCAUAAUGUCCAUUGAGCAGUGCUUACAUGUCCAAGUUAACAUAAUCACACACAAUACAUAUUAGGUAUCCUAACAAAACUUAUACAUAAGGAGUUAUCAUCUUAAGGCCCCGUUUGUUUUCAGAGGUAGAAUGGAGGGGAUUCAUAGUGAGGGAAUUAAUAGUGAGGGGAUUGAUAGUGAGAU